rnacentral:rRNA from 1 species
AGCGAACGCUGGCGGCAGGCCUAACACAUGCAAGUCGAACGGACCCUUCGGGGUUAGUGGCGGACGGGUGAGUAACACGUGGGAACGUGCCUUUAGGUUCGGAAUAGCUCCUGGAAACGGGUGGUAAUGCCGAAUGUGCCCUUCGGGGGAAAGAUUUAUCGCCUUUAGAGCGGCCCGCGUCUGAUUAGCUAGUUGGUGAGGUAAUGGCUCACCAAGGCGACGAUCAGUAGCUGGUCUGAGAGGAUGACCAGCCACAUUGGGACUGAGACACGGACCAAACCCUCGGGGGAGUCAGAAGUGGGGAAUCGUGCGGAAUGGGGAAAGGCCUGCGGCAGGCGUGCGCGUUGGAGGAUGAAGGCCUUAGGAUUUAAAAUUCCUUACACGGGUGAAGUGAAGGAUGGUGGACGGAGAAAACCCCCCGACUAACUUGGUCCCAGCGGCCCCCGCCGAAA